AUUGAACGCUGGCGGCAGGCCUAACACAUGCAAGUCGAACGAGUGGCGGACGGGUGAGUAAUGUCUGGGAACCUGCCUGAUGGAGGGGGAUAAAUACUGGAAACGGUAGCUAAAACCGCAUACCAUCGGAUGUGCCCAGUUGGGAUUAGCUGGUGGGGGGGGUAACGCUUCACCAAGGCGAUGAUCCCUAGCUGGUCUGAGAGGAUGACCAGCCACACUGGAACUGCGACACGAUCCCGACUCCUACGGGAGGCAGCAGUGGGGAAUAUUGCACAAUGGGCGCAAGCCUGAUGCAGCCAUUCGGCGUGUAUGAUGAAGGCCUUCGGGUUGUAAAGUACUGUCAGCGGGGAGGCGUUACCCGCAGAAGAAGCACCGGCUAACUCCGUGCCAGCAGCCGCGGUAAUAC
rnacentral:rRNA from 1 species